rnacentral:rRNA from 2 species
UACGGGAGGCAGCAGUGGGGAAUAUUGGACAAUGGGCGCAAGCCUGAUCCAGCCAUGCCGCGUGAGUGAUGAAGGCCCUAGGGUUGUAAAGCUCUUUCACCGGUGAAGAUAAUGACGGUAACCGGAGAAGAAGCCCCGGCUAACUUCGUGCCAGCAGCCGCGGUAAU